AGGGAAUUUUCCGCAAUGGGCGAAAGCCUGACGGAGCAACGCCGCGUGAGUGAGGACGGCCUUCGGGUUGUAAAACUCUGUUCUUGAGGAAGAAUUCCUUCCAGGCGAACAGCCUGGAAGGUUGACGGUACUCAAGGAGAAAGCCCCGGCUAACUACGUGCCAGCAGCCGCGGUAAUACGUAGGGGGCGAGCGUUAUCCGGAAUUAUUGGGCGUAAAGCGCGCGCAGGCGGCUGAUUAAGUCAGGUGUGAAAGGCUGCGGCUCAACCGCAGAGCGGCACCUGAAACUGGUCAGCUUGAGUGCAGGAGAGGGGAGCGGAAUUCCCGGUGUAGCGGUGGAAUGCGUAGAGAUCGGGAGGAACACCAGUGGCGAAGGCGGCUCUCUGGCCUGUAACUGACGCUGAGGCGCGAAAGCGUGGGGAGCAAAC
rnacentral:rRNA from 1 species